GCCGCGUUGGUCUAGGGGUUUAGGACGCCGCCCUCUCACGGCGGAAGUCACGGGUUCGAAUCCCGUACGCGGUACCA
rnacentral:tRNA from 2 species